CAAUGCCAUUAAACAAUAUGUGUACUGUUUAAUGAGAAACUAGUUUGUUCUGUAAACCUUCCUCUAAAGUUUUUUUUUUUUUUAAAAAAGUCAGUCUCUAGGCCUUUCUUCAGAGCUACUUCCGGGUGGAGUCAAACCUCCAAACUUUUGGUUAGCAGCCAAGCACAUUAACUGAAUGUACCACCCAGGUACAGCCAGCCCUUUGCCUGCCUCACUGUGCAUUCAGUGUGUGAGGACAGUGGGGAGGGGGCUGGCAACCCCCCAGGUCUCCCCGAACUUUGAGUCUUCAUCUUUCAUCAUCUGCUUUAUGACUCAAGACAUGGUAUGAAGACCUCCCAGAGGAAACACGGGGCCCCUGGACCCCGUAAAGGCUGUGCAGAGUUCCCCAGCUCCCAGAACACCUGUUCCAAAUAACGCAGGGGAACAACUGAGGCUGGGAGGGGAACUGUGGCUGAAAUGAAAAAAGACAGCUGGCAGGCUUUCAAAGGCGCGGCCAUCAGGAAGCAGGAGAACCAUUUAGUCAUCUUAGCACCCGCCCAGAGCCUCACAGAGUGUUACUUUAGAGAACACAGGGGCUUGCAGAGAAGAGAGAACCAGGGGCUUGUAGAGAAUCAGCCCAACUGAUUCACUCCUGCUUUCUUUGCACUGUCACUUGCCCUAACAUUUCUAGUUCGUCAGAGAAUAAAGCCCUUGCUCAGAAAAGAGCCAACACCACAGGGGCUCUGGAGCCAGAUAGACCUGGCCGAGAACCCCAGCUCCCCUCUUACCAGCUGGGUUUGCUCUUGGGCAGAUAGAUGACUUAACCUCUUGAAGCUUCAGUUUCUUCCUCUGUAAAAUGGGGUCAUAAUAUCUACUCCAUGAAGAAAGGCCAGGGAAUCUAUUUCCAAAAAUGAAAAUAUGAAAUAUGAACCAAUGAAAACCCUAUGAAUCACAAUGGUCCGAUCCUGUUGUGCAUGGGGUUGCCACAAGGGUUGGGAGGGUGACUUGAUAGCAACUAAGAACAACAGCGUCUGUGUGGCAGAUAUUUUGUUGUUGUUAGGUGCUCUUGAGUCAAUUUCAACUCAUAGUGACCCCAUGGGACAAAGCGGAGCUGCCCCAUAGGUUUUUCUUGGCUGUAAUCUUUAUAGAAGCAGAUCACCAGGUCUUUCUCCCAUGGAGCUGCUGGGUGCGUUCGAACCACCAACCUUUCCGUAAGAAGCAGAGCAUUUAAAUAUUUGCAGCAGCAGUGGGAUGUUUAUUAAAUGGGAUAAGUCCAUUGGCUCAAAUUAGUCACAUGACCCCAACCCAACCAUAGGAAGCACACGGAGUGUUUGACUGUCCUGGGAUCUGGCAUCUGAUGGAUUCCUCUGCCCUUUGACUUCCAGUUGGAUUCAGUCAUGGAAAAUGAGCAUUGGGAAAUUGCCAGCAGGAAUGGGAAGUCACCAGUAGGAAAUCUGGAAGUUGGAGGAGAUGGAAGAAUGGUUUACCACCCCACCUCCCCACUGUAGCAUGGCUACCUCCUCUCCCUACAGAAAUAAAAGAAAAGGGAAGACAGCAGAGAGUUGGGGACCUCAUGCCACCAAGAAAGGAGCACCAGGAGUAGAGCACGUCCUUUGGACCCGGGGUUCCUGGACAGAGAACUUCCUAGACCAGGGAAAAAUUGAUGAGAAGGAUCUCCUUCCAGAGCCUACAGAGAGAGAAAGCCUUCCCCUGGAGCUGAACACCCUGAAUCUGGAUUUCUAGCCUACUAGACUGUGAAAAAAUAAAUUUCUGUUUGUUAAAGCCAUCCACUUGUGGUAUUUCUGUUAUAGCAGCACUAGGUGACUAAGACACUCAAUAACAAAAACCACUAACAUUUGUGGAACAGUGGCUAGGUACUUGGCAAUGGUCUAAGCUUUUUACAUAUGUUGAUAAAUAUAAUCCUCAUGUUAAUACUAUAGGGUUGCUAUGAGUCAGAAUCGACUUGACAGCAAUGGGUAUUAACCCUUUGAAAUAGGGUCUAUUAUUUUCCCGAUAACAAAACCAAGAAACAGAGAGGUUAAGUAACUUGCCUAAGAUCACACAGCUCUGAAUGAUAGCACUUGGAUUUCAACCGAGGCAGUCUAGUUCAAGAGCCCUUACUCUUUUUUUUUUUUUUUCCACUUGUGCUUUAGGUGAAAGUUUACAUCUCAAAUUACUUUCUUAUACAAAAAUGUAUACACGUAUUGUUAUGUGACACUACUUACAAUCCCUGUGAUGUGACAGCAGACUCCCCCUUUCCACCCAGGUUUCCCAUGUCCACCCAACCAGCUCCUGUUCCUUCCUGCCUUCUCAUCCUGCCUCCAGACAAAAGUCACCCAUUUGGUCUUGUGUGUCUGCUUAAACUAAGAAGCACACUCUUUACGAGUAUUAUUUUAUGUUUUAUAGUUCAGUCUAAUCUUUGUCUGAAGAGUGGGCUUUGGGAAUGGUUUUAGUUCCGAGUUAAAAGAGAGUCCGGGGGCCAUGGCUUCGGGGGUUCCUUCAGUCUCAGUCAGGCCUUUAAGUCUGGUCUUUUUAUGUGAAUUUGAGCUCCGCUCCACAAUUUUCUCCUGCUCCCUCAGGGACUCUCUGUUGUAUUCUCUGUCAGGGCAGUCAUUGGUAGUAGCUGGGCACCAUCUAGUUCUUUUGGUCUCAGUCUGAUGGAGUCUCUGAUUUAUGUGCCCCUUUUGUCCCUUGGGCUAAUAUUUUCCUUGUGCCUUUGGUGUUCUUCAUUCUCCUUUGCUCCAAGUGGGUUGGGGCCAAUUGAUGCAUCUUAGAUGGCCACUUGCAAGCUUUUAAGACCCCAGACACCACUCACCAAAGUGGGAUGCAGAACAUUUUUUUAAUAAAUAUGUUAUGCCAAUUGACCUAGAUGUCCCCUGAAACCAUGGUCCCCAGACCCCAGACCCAGCUACUCUAUCCCUCAAGGUGUUCGGUUGUGUUCAGGAAACUUCUUAGCUUUUGCUUUAGUUCAGUUGUACUGACUUUCCCUGUAUUGUCCCUGUGUUGUCCUUCCCUUCGCCUAAGAUGAUUCUUGUGUACUACCUAGUUAGUGAAUUCCCCUCUCCCUCCCUCCCCACCCUCGUAACCAUCAAAGAAUGUUUUCUUUUGUGAUUAAACCUUUUCUUGAAUUCUUAAAAAUUUUUUUUUCAUACAGUAUGUGUCCUUUUGUGACUAAUUUCGCUCGGCAUAAUGCCCUCCAGAUUCAUCCAUGUUAUGAGGUGUUUUGCAAAUUCAUCAUUGUUCUUUAUCGUUGUGUGGUAUUCCACUGUGUGUAUGUAUCAUAAUUUGUUUAUUCAUUUGUCUGUUGAUGGGCACCUAUGUUGUUUCCAUCUUUUAGCUAUUGUGAACAGUGCUGCAAUGAACAUGGGUGUGCAUAUAUCUAUCCGUGUGACAUCUCUUAUUUCCCUAGGAUAUAUUCCAAGGAGCGGGAUUGCUAGAUGGUAUGGUACUUCUAUUUCUAGCUUUUUAAGGAAGUGCCAAAUUGAUUUCCAAGGUGGUUGUACCAUUUUACAUUUCCUCCAGCAGUGCAUAAGUGUUCCAGUCUCUCCACAACCUCUCCAACAUUGAUUAUUUUGUGUAAAAGCCCUUUUUCUUAACAUCUGUACUGCUGUACCACAUCCUGACUCAUCAGUCAGAAAAUUAAGAAAAAAAAAAUCAGUUGCCAUUGAAUUGACUCUGACUGAUGGCAACCCCAUGUGUGUCAGAGUAGAACUGUGCUCCAUAGGGUUUUCGGUGACUGAUUUUUCAGAAGUAGAUCACCAGGCUUUUCUUCUGAGGUGCCUCUGGGUGGACUUGAAUCUCCAACCUUCCAGUUAACAACCGAGCAUGUUAAACAUUGUACCACCUAAGGAAUCCAGCCAGAAAAUGUUGUUUUGUUAGGUGCCAUCUAGUUGAUUUUGACUCAUAGCGACCCCAUGUGACAGAGUAGAACCACCAAAUAGGGUUUUCUUGGCUGUAAAUCUUUAUCGAAGUAGAUCACUGGGUCUUUCUCCCUCAGAGCUGCUGGGUGGGCUUGUACUGCUAACUUUUUGGUUAGCAGCUCAGUGCUUAACGAUUGCACCACCAAAACUCCUUAUUCAGGGAAUACCCAAACCAAACUUACUGCUGUCACGUUGAUUCCAACUCAUUGUGACCCUAUAACCCAGUAAUUAUCAAUGUAUGCUAAUUGCAUGUUUGGUCAAUUUCAGACUGCAGAAGUUGGUAAAAAUCUUCAUUUUCUUCAUCUUGGGCCUUAGUGGCUGGUGCAUAAAUUUGAAUAAUAGUCGUAUUAACUGGUCUUCCUUGUAGGCAUAUGGAUAUUAUCCUAUCAUUGACAGGGCUGUACUUCAGGAUAGAUCUUGAAAUUUUUUUUUUUUUGACAAUGAAUGCAAUGCCAUUCCUUUUUAAGCUGUCAUUUCUGGCAUAGUAGAUAAUAUGGUUGUCUGAUU